GGUCGAGUCGGCCUGCGCGGAAGAUGUAACGGGGCUAAACCAUGCACCGAAGCUGCGGCAGCGAACGUAUCACCCAAGACAACUUUACGGAGUUGACGAUUGACGGAGCGAAGCGACGUCAAAGCGUAUACAAAGUCGAGUCGGUUUAAGGAUACGUUCGUUGGGUAGGGGAGCGUUCUGUAAGCCCGUGAAGGUGGCCUGUGAGGGUUGCUGGAGGUAUCAGAAGUGCGAAUGCUGACAUAAGUAACGAUAAAGCGGGUGAAAAGCCCGCUCGCCGGAAGACCAAGGGUUCCUGUCCAACGUUAAUCGGGGCAGGGUGAGUCG
rnacentral:rRNA from 1 species